CAAUUGGCCUUUCUGCUGCUGAACGCCGCGGAGUGAGCAUCGUUUGAAUCCCCCCUGUUGCAGGCAUCAUGUCUAAGUCUGAGUCUCCCAAAGAGCCGGAGCAGCUGAGGAAGCUCUUUAUCGGAGGUUUGAGCUUUGAAACAACCGAUGAGAGUCUGAGGAGCCAUUUUGAGCAAUGGGGAACGCUCACAGACUGUGUGGUGAUGAGAGAUCUGAACACCAAGCACUCCAGAGGCUUUGAGUUCGUCACCUACGCCACUGUGGAGGAGGUGGAUGCAUCCAUGAACACAAGGCCACACGAGGUGGACGGGAGAGUUGUGGAACCAAAGAGGCUGUGUCAAGAGAAGAUUCUCAAAGACCUGGUGCCCACUUAACUGUGAAAAAGAUUUUUGUCGGUGGUAUUAAAGAAGACACUGAAGAACAUCACUUAAGAGAUUAUUUUGAACAGUAUGGGAAAAUAGAAGUGAUUGAAAUCAUGACUGACCAAGGCAGUGGCAAAAAGAGGGGCUUUGCUUUUGUAACCUUUGAUGACCAUGACUCUGUGGACAAGAUUGUCAUUCAGAAAUACCAUACUGUGAAUGGCCACAACUGUGAAGUAAGGAAAGCCCUAUCUAAGCAAGAGAUGGCUAGUGCUUCGUCCAGCCAAAGAGGUCGAAGUGGUUCUGGAAACUUCGGAGGUGAUCGUGGAGGAAACUUCAGUGGUCGAGGUGGCUUUGGUGGCAGCCGUGGUGGCGGUGGAUAUGGUGGCAGUGGGGAUGGCUAUAAUGGAUUUGGUAAUGAUGGAAGCAAUUUUGGAGGUGGUGGAAGCUACAAUGAUUUUGGCAAUUACAACAAUCAAUCUUCAAAUUUUGGGCCCAUGAAAGGAGGAAACUUUGGAGGCAGAAGCUCUGGCCCUUAUGGUGGUGGAGGGCAAUACUUUGCCAAACCACGAAACCAAGGUGGCUAUGGCGGUUCCAGCAGCAGCAGUAGCUAUGGCAGUGGCAGAAGGUUUUAAUUACUGCCAGGAAACAAA